AUCGCUUCUCGGCCUUUUGGCUAAGAUCAAGUGUAGUAUCUGUUCUUAUCGUACGUUACGCAUUUUUAGAGCUCCGUGUUUUUCGAAUUUUUGAGAUGAAUUUCUAACUUCU
rnacentral:snRNA from 1 species